CGGCCCCGUAACAAAUCCGAUCCAACGGCGAGUCCGGUCGAGUGAAGCGCGGAAGAUUUCGCAGCCCGACCAGGUGUACCUCGAGCUUUCCCCUUUGCGGUCCCUAGCUGUUAAAGUCGGCCGAGUCCGGGCCGAGUCCGGGCGAGCUUGGAGUCGGUGCGAGCGCAUGGUGGACGCGCCGGGGCGUCGUGAGUGUCAUGUAACGGAGGCGGGAGCGGUGGCCGUCCUAAGAGAGAGGUGAUCGCAUCGGGUGGCUAGUCUUCGAGAGGUCCUCGGCAAGUGUUGGCUGAGUCGGAACAGGGAGUACCAUGCAGAAGAGGGACGGACGAGACGCUCGCAUAGAGAAGGAGAUGGCCAGGGGAACGGACCGUGACAGAGAGAGGGAUCAGGAUGCCACCAAGAGGACAUCCAAAGGAAGUGGCAAUGCCACCAGAUCCAAUGUCCAUGCUUCUCGACAUAGCGUCACUUCCUCCUCCGGAGUCCUCAUGGUUGGCCCUAACUUUCGAGUAGGAAAGAAGAUUGGCUGUGGGAACUUCGGAGAACUUCGACUAGG